rnacentral:rRNA from 1 species
CUACGUGCCAGCAGCCGCGGUAAUACGGAAGGUUCGGGCGUUAUCCGGAUUUAUUGGGUUUAAAGGGAGCGUAGGCUGGAGAUUAAGUGUGUUGUGAAAUGUAGACGCUCAACGUCUGACUUGCAGCGCAUACUGGUUUCCUUGAGUACGCACAACGUUGGCGGAAUUCGUCGUGUAGCGGUGAAAUGCUUAGAUAUGACGAAGAACUCCGAUUGCGAAGGCAGCUGACGGGAGCGCAACUGACGCUUAAGCUCGAAGGUGCGGGUAUCGAACAGGAUUAGAUACCCUGGUAGUCCGCACAGUAAACGAUGGAUGCCCGCUGUUGGUACCUGGUAUCAGCGGCUAAGCGAAAGCAUUAAGCAUCCCACCUGGGGAGUACGCCGGCAACGGUGAAACUCAAAGGAAUUGACGGGGGCCCGCACAAGCGGAGGAACAUGUGGUUUAAUUCGAUGAUACGCGAGGAACCUUACCCGGGCU